CUGAGUGAAAAUAGAUUCUACACCAAUUUUUUUGAGUGUACAACAAAUAACACCAUGAUAAAUGAAUGCUUUACCAUUUCAAUGAUGUAUCUCUGACUUUAUGAUCAUGAGAAUUUGUAGUUGGAAAUGUGCUUAAUCGUGUUGAAAAUCUCACAACACUAAUAAUAUGGUAAUAAUAAUAAUUGAUAAAACUGGCUUUAUUUUUAUACAUAUAGCUCAGAAAUAUGUAAAAAAAAAUCACUUCUUGUUUGGUUUUGUGGUGAAAUGUGUUUCUUGAGAUUCACGAGGCCAUGCCUUUAGCAGAUUUACAUCAUUGAAAUAUUACUGACACUGUUGAACAUAAGGAAAUUGUUCAAGUCGCAAAACCUUGCAUGCAUUUUAAGUUUCUUUUUCCUGUAAAAGAAAAAUCAUAAACCUUCCAGCAAACAGCAUGCAGAUGGGAGUUAAUCGUAAAUGACAAUAGUUUGAAUGUGCCAUUCCUUCUGUCUUCCGUUACUGGCGUUUCUCCAAAACAGAAGCUCUUUCGGGUUGUUUUAUAUUUUUUAACAUUGGGACAUAUUUUGGUGGUAUAUUUAGAUGUGUGAGUUUGUAUUUAAUGUGCCUUAUAAACAUUCUUACAUUUUCAUAUGUCUGUUUGCAUUUGUGCUUUCCAUCCUUUCUAAUAAUCUUCUUUUUUUUUUUUUUGACAUGUUGUCUUACACUGUGUUUGAUGUCUUGCGUAAAUGUAUGCUAUUUUCAUCAGUUAAACAGGUUUGGCUCCAGACGUUUAUCCAUAAUCACUGUGAACUGCAUGCAACCAACUUUCCCAACUGAGACACUCGGUGGAAGUUAGGGUCACAGCAGCAUAAACGUGCCUGGGAUGGAAGAAUUACAUAAGUUGUGAAAUGUUGCAUUUACAGCCUUGACAUGAUGCCAAAGAAACUCACCUUUGUGCUUGGAUUGGAGAGUUUUGAAGGUACAAAGGUGGACCUCGUGUUUUUUUCCCCGCUGACCUUCUUUAUGUGUUUCCUUUCUGUGAUUUCCGUUAUAGCUUUAUGGAGGAAAAGCUGACAUGCUCAAAAGAGUUGCCAAAUGUUUUUGUGGAAAUGGAUCUGAAAUGCAUUCUUUUAUUCUGUUUUGACUGGAGUGAAUACUGUAUGUGUGAGUGCGUAUGAGAGAGAGAGAGAGAGAGAUUGCUUGCUCUAGUGAUCUUUUUCUUUUGUACGGGUAAGAGAGUGAAACGUAUUUUACAAAAUCAAAUCAUAAUGCUAUCUCUAAAAGCCAUAUUCAUAUACAGUGGUGAACUUAGCUUUGAGCCAAAGAUGCAUUGAUCAUGUCGGCAUGUUCAGGAGUGUAUACUGAAUCACAUCUGUGUAAUUCUAUUGCUCUAUUUUCUCUGAUUUAAUGAAUUUAUGAAUAAGGGGUACUGCUUUUGAUGAUUUUCUGUUGUUUUUGAGAGUUUGGCAUUUUAAAACUGAGUUUGUUUAUAAUAUAUCGCGUGAAUAAUAUCA